UGGCUGAGCGGUAAAGCGCUUGGCUUCCGAACCGGUAACCCGGGUUCAAAUCCUGG
rnacentral:tRNA from 1 species